rnacentral:rRNA from 1 species
UACGGAGGGUGCAAGCGUUAUCCGGAUUCACUGGGUUUAAAGGGUGCGUAGGUGGGUUGGUAAGUCAGUGGUGAAAUCUCCGAGCUUAACUUGGAAACUGCCAUUGAUACUAUCAGUCUUGAAUACCGUGGAGGUUAGCGGAAUAUGUCAUGUAGCGGUGAAAUGCUUAGAUAUGACAUAGAACACCAAUUGCGAAGGCAGCUGGCUACACAAAUAUUGACACUGAGGCACGAAAGCGUGGGAUCAAACAGG